UUCGAGCGCCGCUUCCUAGCGGCGCGCACACUGCGCUCCUUCCCCUGGCAGGUGGGCGGCGGGGCGAGCGGAGAGGCCUGCGGGGCUUGCGGAAGUCCAGGGGCAGACGGGAUGGGUCUCCCUGCUGAAACCCCCGGCGCUCCUGCCACGCCCUCCCAUCCAGGUUGCCCUACCAAGUGAAAUUUUUUUUAGAGACAAGGUCUCUUGCCCAGGCUGUCCUCGAACUCCUGGGCUCAAGCAGUCCUCCCGUGUCAGCCUCUAGAUUAGCUGGGACUAUUCGGCACACACCACCACACCCAACGAACACGAGGCUGUCCACACGGAGCUUUUGGACGAGCUGUACGAGGCGCUGGCAGAGACCCUGAUGGCCAAGGAGUCCACCCAGGGCCACUGGAGCUAUUUGCUGCCCUCGGAAGGCUCGGUCACACUCUCCGAGCACAGCCAUCAUCUCCCACGGUACCACAGGCCUGGUCACAUGGGACGCUGCCCGCUACCUUGCAGAAUGGGCCAUCAAGAACCUGGCAGCCUUCACUAACAGUAACCUGAAGCUUUCACCGUAGACGUGCUGUAUUGCCCAGAAGCCAUCGUGUCCCUGGUCGGGGUCCUGCGGAGGCUGGCUGCCUGCUGGGAGCACCAGCGGGCUCCUGAGGUCUACAUGGCCUUUACCGUCCGCAACCCAGAGACGUGCCAGGUGUUCACCACCGAGCUAGGCUGGGCUGGGAUCAGAUGGGAAGCGGAAGCUCAUCAUGACCAGAAACUGUUUCCCUAUGGAGAGCACUUGGAGAUGGCAAUGCUGAACCUCACACUGUAGGACUCAUACACGACUCCAACGGGAUUGUUAGAAUCAAAUCACUCUCGUGGGAAGAAUUUUUAUAUGGGAAAGCGGAUAAAACUUUCAUUGGACUGGAAUGUUUGGAGAAUGUUAAAUUCCAAAUCAGGAACCACAAUCUGCCCUCUAAUAAGACAUCGGCUAUCUAAGCAUGUGGGUGCCCCCUUUCUGCCAGCAGUUCUGGUUCUUAAGAAAAUCACCAUAAAUCAGACAUGAAAAUUCUGGCUCCAAAAA
rnacentral:lncRNA from 1 species